UGGGGAAUAUUGCACAAUGGGCGCAAGCCUGAUGCAGCCAUGCCGCGUGUGUGAAGAAGGCCUUCGGGUUGUAAAGCACUUUCAGCGAGGAGGAAGGUGGUGAGCUUAAUACGCUCAUCAAUUGACGUUACUCGCAGAAGAAGCACCGGCUAACUCCGUGCCAGCAGCCGCGGUAAUACGGAGGGUGCAAGCGUUAAUCGGAAUUACUGGGCGUAAAGCGCACGCAGGCGGUUUGUUAAGUCAGAUGUGAAAUUCCCGGGCUCAACCUGGGAACUGCAUUUGAAACUGGCAAGCUAGAGUCUCGUAGAGGGGGGUAGAAUUCCAGGUGUAGCGGUGAAAUGCGUAGAGAUCUGGAGGAAUACCGGUGGCGAAGGCGGCCCCCUGGACGAAGACUGACGCUCAGGUGCGAAAGCGUGGGGCAGCAAACAGGAUUAGAUACCCUGGUAGUCCACGCUGUAAACGAUGUCGAUUUUGGAGGUUGUGCCCUUGAGGCGUGGCUUCCGGAGCUAACGCGUUAAAUCGACCGCCUGGGGAGUACGGCCGCAAGGUUAAAACUUAAAUGAAUUGAC
rnacentral:rRNA from 1 species